GGGGGCGAUGAGGACCAGAGAGAGGGGAAGAGAGCAGAGCAACAUCGGGGACCAGGCUCCGAGCUCACAGAGGGGAUCCAGCCGUGUCGGCAGGGGGGCUACCCUCUUCCCCCUGCAGGCUCCAGUUGUGUCUCCAGCUCCUAGGACAGUGCCUGACAUUGACUCUGCGUUCAGUAAAUCUUUGUUAUGUGUAUGAAGGACAGAAUGAACCAAAAGACCGUGACCGUGGCUGGAACAGGAUGUGAAGCCAAGUGUGGUCUGAGAUGAGGCAGCGGUCAGACCCCGCAGAGACUGGAGCAUAAGGGAAGCCAGAGAGCCUACGUGGUAAGGAACUGAGGCCUCCAGCCAGAGCCAACGAGGGACUGAUGCCUGCCAACAACCAUGUGUGUGAGCUUGGACGUGGAUCCUCUAGCCCCACAUGACUGUACCCCUGAUGGAGAGCUUGACUUCAGUCUCACAAGAGACUCGGCAAAAACCAUCCAGCUGAGCUGCUCCCAGAUUCCUGAAUCUCAGAAA